rnacentral:rRNA from 1 species
ACGCGUAUGCAAUCUACCUUUUACAGGGGAAUAGCCCAGAGAAAUUUGGAUUAAUGCCCCAUAGUAUGUAUGAAUCGCAUGGUUUAUACAUUAAAGUUCCAACGGUAAAAGAUGAGCAUGCGUCCCAUUAGUUAGUUGGUAAGGUAACGGCUUACCAAGACGAUGAUGGGUAGGGGUCCUGAGAGGGAGAUCCCCCACACUGGUACUGAGACACGGACCAGACUCCUACGGGAGGCAGCAGUGAGGAAUAUUGGACAAUGGGCGCAAGCCUGAUCCAGCCAUGCCGCGUGCAGGAAGAAGCAUCUAUGGUGUGUAAACUGCUUUUGUACAGGAAGAAACACUCCCUCGUGAGGGAGCUUGACGGUACUGUAAGAAUAAGGAUCGGCUAACUCCGUGCCAGCAGCCGCGGUAAUACGGAGGAUCCAAGCGUUAUCCGGAAUCAUUGGGUUUAAAGGGUCCGUAGGCGGUUUGAUAAGUCAGUGGUGAAAGCCCAUCGCUCAACGAUGGAACGGCCAUUGAUACUGUCAGACUUGAAUUACUAGGAAGUAACUAGAAUAUGUAGUGUAGCGGUGAAAUGCUUAGAUAUUACAUGGAAUACCAAUUGCGAAGGCAGGUUACUACUAGUGGAUUGACGCUGAUGGACGAAAGCGUGGGGAGCGAACAGGAUUAGAUACCCUGGUAGUCCACGCCGUAAACGAUGGAUACUAGCUGUUGGGCGCAAGUUCAGUGGCUAAGCGAAAGUGAUAAGUAUCCCACCUG